rnacentral:misc_RNA from 1 species
CGCACAUUGCGCCCUUUGGUAUUCCGAAGGGCAUGCCUGUUCGAGCGUCAUUGCAACUCUCAAGCAUUGCUUGGUAUUGGUUUUCGUCCCCGGGACGUAGCCGAAAUUCCGUGGCGGUCUAGCGAGACUUCAAGCGAACAAGAUUUUACAUCCCGCUUUGCAAGCACCUCGUCGACCCAGCCAGUAAACUAAAUUUCAACGAUUGACCUCGGAUCAGGUAGGGAUACCCGCUGAACUUAA